GGAGUUAGCCGGUGCUUCUUCUGCGAGUAACGUCACAGAUGUAAGGUAUUAACUUACACCCUUUCCUCCUCGCUGAAAGUGCUUUACAACCCGAAGGCCUUCUUCACACACGCGGCAUGGCUGCAUCAGGGUUUCCCCCAUUGUGCAAUAUUCCCCACUGCUGCCUCCCGUAGGAGUCUGGGCCGUGUCUCAGUCCCAGUGUGGCUGAUCAUCCUCUCAGACCAGCUAGGGAUCGUCGCCUAGGUGAGCCUUUACCUCACCUACUAGCUAAUCCCACCUGGGCUUAUCCAUCAGCGCAAGGCCCGAAGGUCCCCUGCUUUCCCCCGUAGGGCGUAUGCGGUAUUAGCAGUCGUUUCCAACUGUUAUCCCCCACAAAUGGGCAAAUUCCCAGGCAUUACUCACCCGUCCGCCGCUCGUCAUCUUCAAAAGCAAGCUUUUGAAAUGUUACCGCUCGACUUGCAUGUGUUAGCUGCCGCCAGCGUUCAAUCUGAGCCGAGGAUACAAACUACUGA
rnacentral:rRNA from 1 species